rnacentral:rRNA from 1 species
CGCGUAGGUGGUUGCGUCAGUCGGAUGUGAAAUCCCCGGGCUUAACCCGGGAACUGCAUCCGAUACUGCGUGACUCGAGUGCAGCAGAGGGAAACGGAAUUCCUGGUGUAGAGGUGAAAUUCGUAGAUAUCAGGAGGAACACCGGUGGCGAAGGCGGUUUCCUGGGCUGACACUGACACUGAGGCGCGAAAGCGUGGGUAGCAAACAGGAUUAGAUACCCUGGUAGUCCACGCUGUAAACGGUGAGUGCUGGGUGUGGGAGGUGUAAUGCCUUCUGUGCCGAAGCUAACGCGUUAAGCACUCCGCCUGGGGAGUACGGCCGCAAGGUUGAA